UACGGAGGAUGCGAGCGUUAUCCGGAUUUAUUGGGUUUAAAGGGUGCGUAGGCGGGAUGCCAAGUCAGCGGUAAAAAUGCGGUGCUCAACGCCGUCGAGCCGUUGAAACUGGCGUUCUUGAGUGGGCGAGAAGUAUGCGGAAUGCGUGGUGUAGCGGUGAAAUGCAUAGAUAUCACGCAGAACUCCGAUUGCGAAGGCAGCAUACCGGCGCCCUAUUGACGCUGAGGCACGAAAGCGUGGGUAUCGAACAGG
rnacentral:rRNA from 1 species